GAGAAAAUACUUACCUCGAUGUGUUGGGAUUCUGGAUGUCAGGAUCCCUCUGUCUGUGUCCUGACUGCCAGGGUUUCAUACCCAACACUAUCCACCCUACAAAAGUCAAGAUAUAUGCUAUGCGUGGUGCUUCCAUAUCAAAGACGGAACAGGAUACAGGUGUGGCACCCCAUCAGUGUUGCUACGAACUAUAGUGUGACUUUUGUGCCCCUUCCCCUGCUGAAUGCAUCCCUGACUGGACACUAUUACAUUUACAGCAGGGAUAGGGUUACCUGUGCCCUGAGUGCUGUGUCUGACACAGGGACACUGACCAAUAAGCAACAGGUGUAUUGAUCCCAGAAAGAGAGAGACAGCUUGUGCAGUGGCAGUUGCAGCAGUCUUCAGGGACAGUUGGCAGUUGAGCAGCGGCCAUCUUAGAAGGACACAGAACAGCAACUUGGAGCAGAGCCAGCUGGCGGUGUGUGACAGGAGUGCUGCAUAGCUUAUGGAGAGCCACCAUCUAUUUCCGGUGACCGGAGAUCACCACUGUAGCAGCCAAUCAGUAAUACCAGCCUCCUAUGGGAUCCCACUGCUUCCAGUGGUGCUUGCUUGCUGACAGGCAUCUGACAGAGCAGAACAGUGCUGGGCUUAACUGACUGCGUGGCUGGGAACUAGGCCGCGCGGCCUGCCCUCCCUUUUGAAGGACAGCCCUGGAGGUAGCCUGCUUUGGAGUAACACAUUGGGAGGAGCAGAGAAAGUGUAUGGCUGUAGCUGCAGACAUAUAUCAGCUCACACUGGAUAAUUGAGGCCAACCUAACCCUUGUAACACAGGGUGCAGGAAAGAAUAAUGGGCCUGAUUCAGAUGUGGUUGGAGGAGCUAUCACUUCCUUGGAAGCAGCAGUUAUAGCACUGUAUAGUAAUACAGCAGGAGGCGGGGAAAGCAGUCAGAUAGCGUGUGUUUGCAUGCUGAGAAUAAAGAACAUGAAGGUUCAUUGGGGAAGAAAAAGGACCUCCAAGGAAGGAACCUAUAAGAUAUAUAGCGACCAGAUGGGUUGCAUGACAUGUAUUUGUUCCUGAAUAAAAAAAAAAGAAUAGGAUAUAAAGUAAUGGGAUACAAUGCAA